GUUUUAUUUAUUUAUUUAUUUAUUUUUUAAAUUAAUUUAUGUAACAAUAAUGCUAUGGGUACAUAAUACAAUCCACAGAGGUGUCCAAAAUUGCUGAGGUGGCCUUUUUUUCAUCCAAUUUCUCGCCUUUCUCGCCACAAGUGGAAACACGGCCAAAAAUGAAUUAUUGAAUAAAAAAUGUCUACAAACCCAACAGACAUUUCAUUCUCAUUUCAUUCACUCGUUCCCCUCCUACAGACAUUUUCAUUUCAUUCACGCUUCUUCGUCGAAGGUGACCCCGUGCCCGGCGGCGGCAACGGCACCUUCAACGCAGCCGGCGACGACGACACCUUCAACGCAGUUCCCGGCCUCUUCAUUUUCACUCGUUCCCGGCCCCACUCCCGACUCCAGAAUCUAAACUUGCUCCCGACGACGGUAUUAGUAAUCAACCCCCAGAAUGAGUGGGUUUCUCUUUUUGUUUGGUAGAUAACCUUUUAUUUUCCGUUUUCGAGUUUAGGGUUUCCCGAUUUGGUCACAAAUCAACUCCUAUAUCUUCAACGACGGUAUGAUUCAGCUUACUCUUCUUCUAAAAUGGAUUUCCGUUUUCACGAGAUCUGACAGCAAUUUUGUUUAUUUUUUCUUCUUAUUUUAGUUUUGGUUUUUUUUUUUGUUUUAGUUGCACGAUGUUUUUAUGGGUUUUAGCUGCACGAUUUUCUUUUCUCCUACCAUUUAGACGAUUUUGUUAGAAUGUGGCGAUUUACUGUACAGAAAUUGUUCUUUGUGGUUCACUUUUCAGCUACAUCUUAUCACGACCAUGUCGUCCCCAUUUAGCUAUACAGUCGUCUUCUGAUGAUGCUACUUCAUGUGAACUUAGAUUAUGCUAUUUCCUGUGAAUGUACUGUAUCAUAUAAUAGUAUUACAUAAUGUACUUUGGGAAUCAAUGCAUUGGGAAUGUACUGUAUCAUAUAAUCUUAUUAAUUAAGAAAGCUGAGCCUUGGAUGUUUUUCGAUUUCGAUACAAAUCUUCCACAGCUGUAAUAUUGAAUGGCUAGAAAGAAUAAGGGUAUCUGCCAUAGUUGUCGAGAUCCUGGGCAUCAACUGUAUGACUGUCCAAAAAAAAAAAAAAAAAAAAAAAAAACAAUGUCCUAACUGUUUACAAGAAAUUGUAAAAAUGAUGGAGGUUGAAAAGAAGACGAACAACUUAGGCCGAAUAUUCUUGUGUUGUACAAAAGAUUGUGGAUAUUUCGACUGGAAUGAUGGGAAGUACUCGAAGAAGAAACCCUUGCCGUUUGAAGGACAGUCUAAUAAUAAUUGUGAUGGAAUGCAAUCAAGCCCCGUUGGGACGUCUCCAAGCAAAGCUAAAGCACCAAUGGAUGACUUGUUGAAAAGUGUUGCCGAAUUAAAGAUAGAAGAGGAUGUUGAGAUAUCAUUCAACAUAACUAUCCGGAAGGGAAAGGGGAAGUUGGAAGAUAUCGCCAAGGAAAAGCGUAGGGAGGAGAACUGAUUUUUAUGUUUAUGUUUAUGUGUCUUAUGUAGUUGUAGCUACCUGUCGAACUUUUGUAAUCGGAUAUUUCGACGACACUUAUGUUUAUGUUAAUGUUGAGCCAUAUUUUAAUUUCAUGGUUCUUUUUUAUGUUAAUGUUGAGCCAUAUUUUAAUUUCAUGGUUCUNACUCUUGCUUGAAU
rnacentral:lncRNA from 1 species